rnacentral:rRNA from 1 species
AUGGAAUUGGGAGUUUACUACGGCAUGGUAAUGAGCAAUUUGAUGCUUGUGCUAACUGCGUUCAUGGUCUCUGCUACUUACCUCUUCAUGAGGAGGAUGAGAGGCAAGAUGAGGCUGCCACCUGGGCCAGGCUUGGCCCUCCCGCUGGUGGGCCACCUUCACCUGCUCCGCGAGAAGCCGCUCCACCUCAUGCUGGCCGGCCUCGCCGCGCGCCACGGCCCCGUCCUCUCCCUCCGCCUCGGCCGCCGCGCCGCCGUCGUUGUCACCUCGCUGCGGCUCGCCAAGGAGUGCUUCUCCUCCGAGCUGGACGUCAACUUCGCCAACCGUCCGCGGUUCCCCUCCGCGCGGGAGGUCUCGUUCGGCUACACGGGGCUGUCAGCCGCGAGCUACGGCCCGCACUGGCGCGCCAUGCGCCGCAUCGCCACCGUGCACCUCCUCUCGGCGCGCCGCGUCGACCUCAUGUCCGACGCCGCCAUCGCCGGCGAGAUCCGUGCCAUGGUGCGACGUCUUGCGCGCGCUGCCGCUGGUGGAGUUGCCAGGGUCGAGCUGAAGCGGAAUCUGUUCGAGCUCUCGCACGGCGUCCUCAUGGAGGCCAUCGCUGGAGCCAAGGGCAAGCGCGGUGCCGGCUCCGACGCCGACAUGUCCGAGGAGGCGCACGAGUUCAAGAAAGUGGUGGAUGAGAUCGUGCCGCUGCUCGGCAUGGCGAACCUGCACGACCACCUGCCGGCACUGCUGCGCUGGCUGGACUUGGGUGGCGUACGCCGGAGGCUCACCCAGCUGGUGAACCGGAGGAACGCGCUGAUGCACGGUCUGAUCGAUGCAGAGAGGGAACGGCGGCGGCAGGAGGAGCUGCUGCCGGAGUCGAAGAGCAUGAUCGGCGUGAUGCUCUCGUUGCAGGAGUCCGAUCCGCAGCAGUACACAGACACUUUCAUCGCCGCUUUAGUCACCAACCUCUUCGGCGGCGGCACGGUGACCACGUCGGCGACCAUGGAAUGGGCCAUGUCGCUGCUGCUCAACCACCCGGCGCGCUGCGGAAGGCGGGAGAGGAGGUGA